ACAUGUAUAUGCAAUGAGAAAAAUCACAAAAUAAUUUGAUUUCACUCAUUCUUUGAAUUGAGAAACAAGAUUUCUUGCUUCAUUUCUGCUUCUCCGUUUCAAGAGUGUCUACACUUGGGAGUAGUACUUGUUUACCAAAUACAAUAUUGGCAGUACUUCUUCUCGAGUUCUCUGAUUCCCCCCUCUCUUCGCGAUCUACCUCUCCUUCGAGAGGCUUCUCGAGUCCAGGCCCUGCGAUGCCGAUCAGACCUAGCUCAUCGAUCGCUCUCUCCAAUUGGGCUCUGUGCUCCUCGAGGCUGCUAAUCGUUCUGCGAGAAAACGAGCCUCCAAGCACAACUCUCUCACCUGUACUCUCCCCCCAAACCCCCCUCCAAGUACAAUUUGUAUAUAUUGAUAGGGAUGGGGAGCUGGGAGCCAAGUACAAUUUGUAUAUAUUGAUAGGGAUGGGGAGCUGGGAGGAGAGUGGGACGGAGAGAGAGAGUGGGGGACGGAGAGAGAGAGUGGGGGACGAAGAGAGGGAGAGUGCUCUGGUGGGGAAGAGGCAGGUGCGCCGCUAUCACGAACACAUUCAGACCACGAGCUGACGCAAGUUGAAAUCAUGCUUCUCUGUUUUUCUAGAAUUGGGUUUUGGUGUUUCACCGACGAUGUGACGCCAGAGAGAGAGGGAUGGGGUUGGUGUGGGUGCGAGUGGGGGGUGAACAAGGGGUACUGGGUUUGUUGGGCUGAGGAGGGGCUGGGAUUUUUUAAGAUUCCAAAGCCGUUUAAGGGAAAUUCGUAGUCGAGCUACUGAUGUUCAUGAUAAGGAAAAGGGAAUCAAGAUUACUGAGAAGGAUUGGGAAAAGUUGAAUGCACAAUUGCUUCAUACAACAAUUUUCCUACUGCUGCUGGAUUGGCUUCCUCAGCAGCUGGUUUUGCAUGUCUUGUUUUUGCCCUCGCAAAGUUAAUGAAUGCGAAUGAAGAUCACAGCCAGCUUUCUGCUACUGUAAUCAAUCUGAGAUUUUAAUAAGCCAUCGCAAUCUGACUAAGUUUUACAGAAUACUUAACACAAUAGUAAGUGCUGAUAUCGACCCUGAAGAACGUCUCCUUGACAGUAGCUUAAUUGAUUUUGACAGAGCAAGCCUCCUUUAUGCCAUUGGGAAUAAUAAUGUGUCCAUUGAUCUGCCCGCCCACAUUUUCCGAGCCAUUUGCCUGGCUGCAACCCCAGACGACUACUACGAAACUCAUUCCCUGCCUUUUGGGUCGUUGAUCACUAGGUUUGCCAUGGCAUCUAAGGUGCGAAUUGAUCCUACGGAUCAGCUUAAACAACUUAUGCCACCUAUCAACUAGAUGAUGUUUCAUAAUGAUGAGACAGAUGAAACAAGUGAAGAAUCUGUUGUUGGAUUUACUCCUCCUCCUGCACCUGCUUCGGAGCCAAGUCCUCCACAGCUUAAUCAGCCUCCUCUGUCCCAGACGAAAAGCUUUGAGAAGUUUUCUAUAAAGCUGAGAAAGCGCAUGGCCCGACUUGCCAAUGAGGUCGUUAAGCUCACCGGUUGCGUACAUUCGGGCAUCCCAUUGAACGAACCAUUUACAGGUCAUUCUAAUGUUGAGCUUUCUUUAGUUUAUAUGUGUUUUUGUCCUUUUCAGCUUUGUUAAACCCUGUCUUCAACUUUCAUUUCUAAUCCAUUGAUUAUCUAUGAAUUGUUAGGUUUUUGUUUCCAUUUGUUUAUUCAGUUGUUCUUCUUUUAUACCCUCUCAUUGGUUUCUGCUCCUCUGUCUUAUGAUUUUCCACUUCCACUUAUCACUCCCUUGUCAUACACACUUGCAGUACAAGAUAAAUAGAAUCUGAAGUUUGCCUUGUUCUGGAUGAUAAAUAGAAUUCUAUUUAGUUAUAUAUUUUCAAAGAUACAAGUUAAAUAAAGACGAUGUAGCGAGCACCAUAAGCUUCAAAAGAAUUUUCCUAGUUCUAGGCUUAAGUAUAUUUUUUAUCUAAAGGACCUCUGAGUUGACUGCAGGAACUGAUUCAGCCUAAUACUGUAAAAGAAUUGUCCCUUGAAUAUCUUUUUAUGUACAGCUGGUAAGAAAAUUUUCAGGUUUUUACUGGUGGAAGGAAAGUAAUAAACUUGAAGUUAGCAACUAGCACCAAAUGCUUCUGUGGUUAGUGAUUUAGUAUUGAAGAGAAGCUCUGUUUCUGAUCAUAUAUGUAAGAUUGAUUUUGAUUGCAUUAAUUAGUAAAAAAGAUCAGCUCUGUUUCAGAUCAUAUAUGUAUUCUUUUAGUCAACUAAUGAGAUGGGGUGGUUAACAUUUAUUUAAGUGUGACUGGAACAGUUUUGAGUGAUGAAUUUUCCUAUUUUCACUAGGGAGCUGCCUUUGAAUUUGAUAUUUUCAGGAGUGAUUCGAUGCUUUUCUCUCUUUCGAAAACUUAACAAAAUUAAAUAUUCACAAUAUUCCCCAUCUUCUGUAUAAUAAAAAUGAAACUGCUUCUAUGUGAUUAUGAACUCCAACACAUCUUGUGUCCUUGUGGUUGUAAUAGUCAGCAGUUAAUGCACUUCUUUGCUGCUUUAGUGGAUGUUUUUUAUGCUUUACUUUCUCUCUGUUAUUGUGCUGAAGAAAAUAUGGAGGUUAAACAAGAAAAUGAUGAGAAUUUUAUUCCCAACUCACAUACUUCGACACAUCUAUCAACUUCAAUUUCUGGGUUGCAUCCAAAUAAGAAAGCGAAAAAAGAUCCAUUGGCACAAGCAAUUGGUGAGGCGGCAGACUCACAAAAGGAUUUUCGGCAAGUCAAAUGAACCGCAACUCAGAGGAGAGGAUGCACUUGCAGUGGUCUCAAAGAUACCGAACCUCAGUAGAUUGCAAGUUUUGAAGGCCGUACACAUGUUAUUGAAUACUAAUCCAGAAGAGGUCUUUCUACUCAAAUAUCUUCCUGAUGAUGAGAAGACAGAGUGGAUAAUACUGCUUAUUAGUAAAUCCUGGGUCAAACUUUCUUGAUAAAUGAUACUGAGCCAAUUAUUUCUCAGGGGUUUAAACUUUUGCAUAGAGAGUCACUUAUCAGCAUUUACUCUCUCUCUCUCUCUCUCUCUCUCUCAUUGAUCCAGUAUUAGGAGCGAUCUUGCUUUUUAUUCUUUUCAUAUACAAUAUUAUUUAUAUCCUUUUAUGCCCUUUUACACACACUGAGCUUCUUGACAUGUUAUGGGCUUUUAAAUUUUAAUCAUGCUUCAAAGACA